rnacentral:lncRNA from 1 species
GACGUGAGGUACGUGUGUAGCGGUCGAUAGAGCUUCCGACCCAGGUUAUUUCGGUAUAGUUAUUACCCUUAUUGUUUCAGUUGUUAUAGCUUAGAUAGUUAUAUGGUUCAGUAUUUUUAUUACAUUUGAAAAUAUGGAUUUUCGUAAAUGUAAUAAACGGAUUUCUGGAUUUUGUAAAAUAAAAGGUUUUCUACCCCUCGUGGUAGCGUUUUUAAAGAAUAAAGGUUUCCGUGUAGGAAACAGUUUUCAAAAGGUUUUCUGUGGAUUUUGCAUCUUAGUAUUUCAAAACCUGUUUCUGUGGUUGGAAACAUUUUAACUGAUAGAUGUGGAUUUAUGUUUACAUAUCGAAUAUAUAAAUGUGAACCUGUGAUGUGAAUGGUAUAUGAAUAUAUAAUUGUUGGUUAUUUGUAUGUUCAUUUGGUUAUGGUUGUACCUGGGUUACUUCUUGUAUUUGUGUGACGCCGUGCGAAUACAGGGGAGAUUCUGUCCGUGCGAACAGUGGAUUCCCUGUGUUUGUGGCGGAUCUGACAUACUCUGGGGUCAGGCUUUUCAAAAAAAAAAAAAAAAAAAAAUUUAGACGCUUUUCCGCUGUGUUCAAAGAAAAAGGGACCCCGGGGCGUGACACGUUGUAAAUUGGUAUCAUCACAGUAUUCGUGUGAUGGAUACCCCAGGUAGUUUAAAGUUCAGUUACGCUCGUGAUGAGAUGCCUAGCGUAUUUUUUUUACAGUAGCAUUCAGACUGUUCUGUACUGUUGGGUGCCAUCGGGGUUGACGGUGGACCCAUAUCGUUGUUUUGGCGUUGGAUUGUGCCGAGGGCACGUGACCUGUUGGUUGUUAUACCAGUUAGAGUCGGUUACUUGACUUUGGCUUGUGAGAGCCAGAUUGAGCUCGACAGAGAUACGCUGCAUACUCGGUUGGGUAGCUCUCACGAGUGCCACUCCGGAGACGGGCGCUGUGCUUUCGCAUUGGUGUCGUUCAUUGCCGGUUGGACUUGCUCUCCACGGACUUGAUAGUGUGGAGAUAGCUGGAUAGUCCCAACUGAGCGGGACGGGUGUAUUCACAGUCCCUGGGACGGGUAUGUUUACAGUCCCUAAAGAGAUUGGGUCGGGAUUGACUUUUCUACAGUAGGCUAGUUUAGAGCAUGAUAGUGUAAUAACGCGUAGCUGUAGAUUUUAUUCCAGCAUUUAUUACUAUCUUCGCUCCUUUCUAUAGACUUAGUGGGUGGACCGAUGAUGUUGAGGGCUGCACCCACUGAGGACUACUUGUUUUUACAGUAGUUCUUACGCCCUGUUGUUAUCCCGUUUUUGCAGAACCAUCGUCUUCGGUUGCUGCUGUUGCUAAUCAGGAUCGAGGCAAGGGCGUUGCGAGCUAGAGCCCUACCCGAUGAGUCGCGGUGAUAGAGGAUCCCCUACUACAGGUAGUCAUACUUUUGGUUUUUGAGUUCAUGUACAUACAGUUAUUGUAACUCGCUGGAGUGAGUACUUUUGGUAUAGUUUUAUGUAUGUAUAUGAGACUUAUUUUAUUCUACCCGUUUAGUUUCUUUACAGCUCUAUACUACUGUUUGUAGUAUUGUAUGUUUUACAGGUACAGUCAUCACUUCGUAUACAGAAAAAAUUUCUUUGUAUACGACGGAUUUGUCGGCGUGCCCGGGGAACGUGUAAUCCGAGGCGUAACAGGACAAUUUACGUAAAAAAAAAAAAUGACAAAUACUUAAUUUGUCGGCCAUUGGAUUAGAUCCAAUGACAUAAAUUAAUACAUUUUAUAAUAAUUCGAAAAUAAAAUAUAAAUUGUACGGUUAUGAUUUAAAUCCAUAAAAGUUAAAUUAUUGACAUUGUUAGUACGUGAUUAGAAUUAUAUUAAUAGGGGUUAGCAUUUUGGAAAAGAAAAAAAAUUUUAAAACUCACUUUUUAUAAGUAGUAUAGAAUUUAGUACACCUAGGCAAGUUCAAGCCCAAAUCAGAUUUAAACAAUUUCAAGUCCAAAUUACAAUUUAAGCAAGUUCAAACCCAAAUCACUUAAGUUGGUUCUUUUAUUAGCCCAGUGAAUUUAUCACAAUCGUAAGUAUAAAUCUAAAUACACUAUAAGCCGAAAUUAAACAGUCUUGCCCAUAUUUAAUCUAAGCAAUCCAAAUCCCAAAUAACAAUAUUUCUGUUUAUGCUUAAGUUUAGCCACAAUCUCAAUAGAAGAGAUAAAAAUCCUGAAAAAAACUUAAAACGUAAAACAGUAUAAAGGCAAAUUAAAAAAAAAAAAAAUUUUAAGUGAGAUCUACCUUUCUAAUUGUGGUGAAGGUAGCCAAGGCAACAAUGUGCCCGUGCUGGUGAUGACGACGAGGAGAACGAUGACGAUGAGCCGGCCGCGGAGUCAAAUGAAAAAGGAUAUUACUAAAAAUUAUUUGGAAUAUUUGAAAAAAAUAUAGAUGAAAAUAAAAAAAAAGAUAUUACUAACAAAAUAUAUAUUUUAUAUUUGAUAAAUUUAUAAAUGUAAAUGAGAAAAUACUAAAAAAAGGAUAUAAUAAAACAGUAUAAAAGCAUAUUAAAAAAAAUUCAGUUUAGAUCAAAAUACCUCUCCAAAGGUGGCGAAGGCGACAACAUGCCCGUGUCGGCGAUGACUAUGACAAUAUGCCGGUAACAGCGACGGGAACAAAUAAGAAAGAAUAUUAGUAAAAGAACUAUUUGACAAUAUUUGAAAAAAAAUACACGUGAAAAUGAAAAAAAAAAUAUUACUAAAAAAAUAUACCGAUGGCUUGCACAAUUAAUAUGAGAGAUAAAAUGUCAUGAAGAUACAAACUUAUUAGCAUUUAAAAAUCUUAAAAAGUAAAACAAAAUAUACGAAAGACGAAUUGGAUAGAAAAUUAUAUUAUAUUAUGACACAUUAAAAUGAAUUAGGCGGAGCCAAAAUACUUUUCCAACUGUGGCGAAAGUGACCGAAAACGGCGAUAAGGAACGAAUAAAAUAUUAUUAAAAUAAUAUAUUUGAGAUAACGUAUAGUGAAAAUAAAAAAAAAAAGCUUUAUAUUUAAGAAACGUAUAGAUGGAGAUGAGAAAGUAUUAAAAAAAGAUAUACUUUAUGUACGGAUAAAUAUUAUGAUGAAAUAAAAUUGGGUAUGGAUAAGUAUUAAGAUAUUUUCUAUAUAAUUAAAAUUUUAAUUAUGUUUAAUUUUAAAAGUUAAAGUUUAAUUUCGAUCCACUUUAAGUUUGAAAUUCAAAAAUUAUUUUGAUUCACUUUAAGAUUUAAAUUCAUAUGCGUCCGUAGUGAAGAUAUUAUAUAUUUUUGAAAAAUCCAAAAUUUAAUGAACUAUUUGAAAUGAAUGGUUCAAAAUUUCUAACGAUGAAAAAAUUAGUAAAAAAAUAGAGACAUUUUUGGAAAGAAAUUCAUAUUUAAUUCAAAAUUCAAAAUUUAAUUUUGAUCUAGUUUAAGAUUUAAGUUCAAAUGCGAGGAUAAUGGAGAUAUUAUAUGUUUUCUGACGAAUUCAAAAUUUUUGUACAUGAAAAAAUUUGUUAAAAAGAUAGAGACAUUUUCGUAAUAAAAUUCAUAUUUAAUUUGAAAUUUGAAAUUUUAUUUUGAUCCAUUUUAAUAUUUAAAAUCAAAUGCGAGAAUAUAUUUAAUUCAAAAUUAUGAUAGGUUGAAAAAAUAAUUUUGAUGAGAUAUUUGAGAAAUACGUGGAUAUUACGUGUGAAAAAGAUUAACCGGAUAUUAUGUAGGUAGGUGGGUGACGUGUAUGAUAGGUGGAUUAAUGAGAUAUUUGAGAAAUUCACGGAUAUUAUGUUGAGAAAAAAUUGACGAGUACGGAUAUUACGCAUGUUGAGUAUAAUGUUUGAGAAACGCAUAGAUAGAAGAUAUGAUAUAAAUGCGAGGGCAUUAUUGUCACAAAAAGUGACAGAUACUUUUAUUUUGAAUCGUUAGAUAAGAUCUUUAUCUACUAAUAUUUAAAAUAUGAGAUAUUACCAUAUGAACUUACAAUUUAAGAAUUUAAAUUUAUAGAUAAAUGUGAUUUACAAAUUUAUAUUGAUUGAUUUGAAAUAAUUAUUAAAAUAGUUGUUGACAGAUUCUUUUUAGUAGGAAAAAAUAUUACAUUCCAUUUGCGAUAACAAAAAAAAUUCAUACUUAUCCAAAUUUUUGUCAACCGAAGAAUAUCUACUACAGAAUAUUUUCACAAGUGCCCCAUCAAAGUAUAUCCAUACUCAUCAAAAAAAAGAAAAUCUCUACGCAAUACACAUUAAAAUUAUUUAGUAUCCACUAUCUCUCAAUUAACUAACUAAAAAAAAUUUAGCUUUAAAAAAUAGAAUUAUUAAAUAAACUUAUCAAAUCAACUUUAAAUUUUAAAUUUGGUUCAUAAUUUAAAAUGUGAAUUAAUAUUUUAUUCAAAAUUUGAAAUUAAUUAAAAUUUUACUAUUUGGGUGUGUAAACAAUAUUUCAAAUCGAAAAUAAUUAAUUAACCUGAAAUAUAUCAAAUUUGAAAAAUAGAUGAGAUGAUAAAUAAAUCAAUAUCUCUAAUAAUUAUUUACAUUCAAAUUAUGGAUUCAAAAUUAAUUUCAAAUUAUGGAUUCAUAAAUUUAAAUCUGAAUUUAUAAAUUUAAAAUUUAGAAUUACUUCAAAAUUUUAAAAUUUAGAUACAUAUUAAAAAAAUUAAAGUUAAAAAAAAUUAAUUGAUAAAAAUAUUUAUACCAUCAAUAAUUAUUUAAAUUUAAAAUAUAAAUAUAAAUUUAAUUUAAUUAAAUGUGACGUGUAUCGUACGUGCACUAUAACCGGUAGAGAUUAAAAACGUGUCUUAUUUAAGGGAAAAUUUUUCCUACUAGUAGUGAUGGGACGUAUCGACCCAAAUGAUACAGUUCCCUUGAUGGAAGAUGCCACGUCAGCAUUACACCUCAAUGACGUCACCUUUGAGGUGGACCUUCUACUGUGGCCCCGGUCAAUGUGUCUACCUAAUUCUUCUUGUUUUGGGGAAUAAUUUUUUUUUUGUAUUUUUUAUUCUGUUCCUAAGCCCUAGCUCCAUUAUUUUAAGUUAGGAAUAAUACCUAAUAUAUUUUUUAAAUAUUUAAAAAUAAAUAAUAUUUUUUCGUUUGACUAAUUACAUACUGUUAUUGACUUAAAAAAAUAUCCAAAUAUAAUCAUAACUUUAGAGUUAACUAAUGAAAUUUGAGAUUUAGAAGGAUAUUUUGAAAAUAGAAGGAUAAAUUUAAAAAUUUUAAAUAACUUUCUCAAACUAUGCGGCUGACACUUUGAUUCUUUAAACUUUAAUUUUUAUACUUUCUACCUUGGCUUUCAGAAUUAUUACAAUUAAAUCUCACGGUCCAAUUUAGCUGACUAAAAUUGACGCAUCACUGAUAUACAAAUAAUAUAAUAUUUUAAUUAGUGAUGUAUCAUCAAUCACAAUACUGCUACAUCACCUUUAUAUAUUCUGUUGUCAGUAAUUUAACUUCUCUUAAUUUAUACAAAAAAUUUUGAACUAGCCAAACUGAACUGACAGAGAUAUCCCAGUUCGACUUUGUUCGCUUCGUUCUUAUAAUUUGGUUUGGUUCGAUUUGUCAGUAAUUCAGUUCACUAGCUCCAUUAUUUUGAAAUAGUUUGAUAAGUCAUAUAAUUUACUCUGCGGACGCAUCUUAAAGGGUUUAAUUAAUGUAUAAUUAAACUCAGGACAUUAUUUGCUUAAAGAGAGAGAAAGUCUCUUUUGUAAUAACUAAAUAGACAUCAUAACAAUAACAUCAGAUCAAAAGCUCAAUAAUUUAAAAUCCGAAAUCGAUUACGUCGCAGAAUUAUUAAUUAUCAGAUCACAGGUCAUUGGUUUAAUCAGUAGUUCAAUUACUGAAUUGAAUGAUGUUAUAUAGCAAGAUGUUAUAAAUACUUAAUAAUUAUAUUUUGUACUAUAUAUAAGAAAACAUAUAUAUAAGUAUAGUACUCUAUAUUAUUUUUAAGAGCCAAUUGCUCAUAUCUUUUUGAAAAGUUCGUUUUUUAUUUAUAUCUCUUAAGAGGCUAAUAUUAAAAAUACAUUUCCAACGUUCGAGUAAUUUCAAAAAUACUCUUAGAGUUAAAUAGUGUUAAUGAAUUGUGGGCUAACAAUUAUUCUAUAUGUGGGUUAAUAUAUUAAUUAAUUUACAAUUACAAUAUAGGCUAUCAAAUUUUAACAGGCCAUUAAGUGAUCUAAUAUAUAUGGGGUUCUAAUUAAUUAAAGAUACCUAUUGGGUAUGGACUGUUAAUGUGUAGAAGUCAUGUAAAGACCUAUUUUCGCUAUAUGAGACCCUAAUUAGAUUUAGAAUAUAAGAAACACAAUAAGAUUGUAAUCCCUAGCUAGAUACGUGCCAUCACAUGCCUUAACCCUAUUUUCAGAGCAAAUUAGAGAGAGGAUUGUUAUGACAAACGCACAAACGGAAACGAAAUAACGAACACAAAAAACAAUCAAACCACAAGCAGAAAAUAAAGCGACACAGAUUUUCGUGGAAAACCCUUUGCAGGGAAAAAACAACGGGCGAGAGAGGAGAGAGCUUCACUAUGGAACGAAAAAGGGAAUACAAUGUUCUUCUGAUUACAACCGACCACAAUCACACGCCUCUAGGGCAAAAAAAAAACGAAAAAAGAAAACUCAUAACGGGUUUCGGAUUCGAUCCGUACCGCGCUGUCGGCCCUAUUUUCACUAACAGGCCCGAGCUCUCCGCUACCCACCACAGACAUUCAUUUUUUCUCCAUAAUUUUCUUUUCCAAAUUGAUUGCACCGCGAAGCUGUUGGCGAAUCGUAAACCCGAACCUGAAAUGAUAGUAAAUUUCGAGUCAGAUCUGACAAGGAUGAAUCUAGACUUGAAAGCACUCAAUCCAAAACAAUUCUGGUAUCGAUAUUUUAGAGAAGUUAAAAUCUAAGAAAAUGUUUCAUCAGGCAUGAAUUCCAAUAAGUGUUUUUAUAAUUUUUUUUUUAAAAAAAUACAUUAACGAUUGGCUAACGAUUUUAUGUCAUUCUUGGGUUAUUUUCAUUAGUUCGAGUAAAGUCCUUCGCAACAAGACGAGGUUUAUAUUUCUCGACAUUGCCUUUUGAAUCCUUUUUAGUUUCAAAUAUUGAUUUGCAACCAACAAGUUUCGCACCUUCCGGCGAUUCGAAGAGAUCCCAAGAAUUAUUGUCUUUCACGCACUUUAUCUCAUCUGAUUCAUGGCAUCAAUUUAUUUUUGAGAAUUAGAACUCUAUAUGACUUGACGAAAGUUGAUUGGAUCAUCUUCCAUCAAACCUGUGUCGUCCUCAUGUUCUUGUGGAUCUUCGUAACGGCAUUUGCUCUUAAGAUUGUUGAGUUUGCUCUUUAAUUUGGGGCAACUUCUUGAUUUUGAGGGGGAGAAUUCAUCAACAUUAUCUUCAUUGUCUGGGUUUGCUUCUUGAACUACGUCAGUAAUAGUGACUUGAUCAUCAUCGUAAUAGCAACGGUAGGACAAAAAAAAAAAAAAAAAACAAAUUCUUCUUCAAAAACAAUGUUACUUAUUUUAUCUUCCCCUCCAAACUUAACUUUCUCUCAAUUCUCUGUUUAAAUGUGACACAACGCUCGUGUCAUAACGUAGUAGAAUUCUCAUUAGUUAAUUUUCAUUUUGUACCACAAGAACUAGUAUAUACGACGUUUCAUUAUACGAAGCGAUCGUAUAUAACAAAUAUAGGUUGUCAUUUACAGAUAAUGAACCAGUACCAACAAAAUUUGAAUUUUGGAAAAGACUAAAUUUAUUAUUUCCAAACGAACAAGAGUAAACAGAUUUGUCCAAAAUAGAAAUAGAAACUAAAUUUUGUCUAAACAAUGGUACAAUAAAUGUCUCUUUCAAAUCCAAAUAAGAACUGGCCUUUAAUAACAGCCUAAACCUCAACACAACUGAUUUACCGUCGCCCACAAAGAUGAAUCUUUCAGCAUCAUUUCGCUGUCGGUUGUCGGCUCAUUAGACAUCCUUGCAUAGACACACUUAUGUGAAUAGUAGCACCAGAAUCUAUUCAUCAAGUAUUUCUUGGAACAGAAGUCAAAUUAACUUCAGAACAAACCAAAGUGAGAAGCUUAUCUCUCUUAGCACGCCAAACUGCAUAUUUCUCGACAUUGCACAUUUCCAGCUAAGUUUAUUUCUAAAUAAAAUAAACGAAGCGGGUAGCGUGCUACCUAUCUCUCAAAAAAAAAAAAAAAAACCAAUAAGUUUAGUGUCUUUAAUUUUGAAGCAACGUGAGAUAUCUCCAUGAUGUACUUUAUAUCUUAUUGAAAUAGGUUUAGAUCGCAGUUAACUUUUUUCAUCCUUUAUGCUUUUGGCAAAACGCUUUUCCAAUUCCUCAAGAAACUUCUUAACAUCAUCCUCAUCAAACAUAGCGCCCUGAAAGAUUUUGGAAUUGCAUGUUUCAUGAUCAUAAGACAUGCGAUUAGAACGUUCCCACUUCUAAAAGUCCUUUUUAUCCUCAAUAGAACUUUUAUCUGUAAAAAAAAGGGGUCGUUCUGUCCGUGGCGCAAGAUCCAGAUCAAUGCAACCGCGAACAAUCAUAACAUUCUCUUUUCGAUUCUAAAAUUUGUGCUAUUCAGCACUGGAUUGAAUUGAUAUUAAUUUGCAGAUAUUGAAGAAGCAGAAGUAUUAAUUGAACGGAGAAUAAGACACCAAACAUUAGGCUCUCACUUUUUCUGUUUUAUCUAUAACAAAAUAUAAUAAAUAAAUUCAAAUAAUGAUGGGCCCAAAACAAGAUACCUAGCAAAACGUUGUCACAUAUUCAUUACGACAAGUGUAUGUGCAGUUCAGCAAAUAGUAAACUUCCUCUGGGUCGCUCACUCUUUGCAUAAACAACAUUUAUACACAUCCAAAUAUUUUAAAUAAAUUAAUCUACAUAAGAGAGGUUAUAUAUGUUAGUAACAUGUUGUUUCAAUUAAUUUAUUUUUAAACAUUGGACAUUUCAAAAUUAAGAAAAUACCAAAAUUUAAAUUUAAUUUUUAAAAAUAUAUUUUGCAAAAAAAAUAAAUUUAAAAUUUUCAUAAAGUACAAAUGUAGGAUAGGGCGCAGAUUAUUGGGGGGUCGCGAGAUGACGGUUUUCAGCAGUUUUUCGAAUGCGAAAACCGUCUCUUCGGCCUUACGGGCUAUUUUGCAACUCCGAAAACCUUACUUUAUGACCCUAUAUCGUUAAACAAUCAGAAUCCGGAAUCUAAAUUGUCACAAAUCAAAUAAUAAUGUGAAAAAAUAAUAAGGAUUUAUAACAAUUUUCUUUUUUAAAAAAUGAUAUCUAACGACUUAAUCACGCGCGUCUUAGUCUGACACCACUUGUUAGAUCUUUACAUACAUAAAUACAAAUAACCCAAAAAUCACAUGUAAACUGUUAACCAAUCGUUAACGUAUUUAAAAGAAAUAAAUAUUUAUCAGAAUCCAUGCUCGAUGAAACACAUUCUUAGACUUUAACAUCUCUCAAAUACCGACACAUAAUUACUUAGGAUUGAGUGCUUCGGAGUCUAGAUUCGUUGUCUCUCUAAUUUUCUCUAAAAAUGGUGUAAGGUAUCGGACUUAGGGAUCAUUAUCUUAUUGUGCUCCUUAUAUACUAGGUCUAAUUAGGAUCCCAUAAAGCAUAAAUAGGCUUGUAUUUGACUUCUACAUAUUAACAGCUCAUAUCUAAUAGCACUAUAACAGAAUUAGAUUAUAGGGACACAUGUUUAAGACACUUUUGAGUAAGUGUCUCAUUUAUGCUAAAACUUAAAAAAACAUCUACUAAUGUCUAAAUAUAAAGCCCAAUCCAACCAAAAAUAAAAGAUUACUCUACUCAACCCACCACACUCAGUCCAUUUGGCCCGAUUACAAAUAGAAAAGAAAAAAAAAAAGAAAAAUCAAUUACCAUCUUUUCUUUUCUCUUCACUCAAUCCACUGAAAUUCUAGACGAAUAGCCUUUCAUGUCGUCCUCCUCCGCCACUGCAGCCAACGAGAUAGAGUUUCGGCGGUUGCUAAAUGCUUAAAUAAGUGUUGGUAAAUUAGCAGCACUCUUUUAGAUUAUAGCGACACUCUUUAACUGUCACUAUAUACCUAGCGACCCCACAUAUAGCAACACUUUUUAAAAAUGUCGGUAAUUUUAGCUAGCAGCACUUUUUUGACAUGUACCUACAUUUAAAAGUGUCGCUAUAGACCGUUUUUGUUGUAGUGUAGAUGUUUCUAGAGCCCAUAUUAGAUCACCUAAUGGUCCCGUUAAAAUUACAUAGUUCAUAUUAUAAUUGUAAAUUAAUAUGUUAACCCACAUAUAGAUCCCAAUAGGUUGUGGGUGGAGUGCCUGGCCAUAAGGUCAGUUAAAGGUUAGAAAGAUGAGUCUUAUAUCGUCUGACGCUUGUGAAUGUGUUUGAGUCUAGCGAAAACAUUAGGACUUAAAGAGAAAGGAUUGUGACGCUUCUAGGAUUUGAAAUAGUCAUAUAUAUGAGAUGUAAUAGAACUAAAUUUAAAAAAUUCGGUUACAGUAUUUUGGACGGUAGUUAGGUUUAAAAGUUUGAGAAAGUUAAGCGUGCUAGCGCUUGAGAAAUCCUAAGAUCAGUGGUCUUAUGAAAAGUGGGACGUCACAUUUAUUAUUUGAACCAGUAAUCUGAAUGGGUCAAAGCGGAUUUUAAGCAUGUCCGAUUUAUGGGUCGAACUGAAUUGGUUUGACACUUGUCACGGUCUGACAAAUCUGACCGGCCGGGUCGAUUUGAAUUUUAAAAUUUGAAAAACUUUUAUAUUGUAUAGAAAAAUGAGAAAAAAUAAAUAAAUAAUCGUUCCAUCAAAUUUUAACUACUAAUUAAUUUUCAACUAAAGAUCGUGCAAACUCAGUUUAUAGUUAUAUAGCUGCUAACAGCUAAUUAACCCAUUAAUAAAAUCUCCAAUUGAAAUAAUUCAAAUAACUUAUAUCAACACAAAUGAAAUUUGAACUCCCAAAAAGGGAAAAGUUUAAAAAAAAAAAAAGUCUAGUCAAAAGUGGCCCAAAGUAGGAAUGUCAAGGAGUGGGAUUCGGAUGGAAUUUUAAAAAAUCCGAAUCCGAACCGGACUCCAAACCCAAAAUUCGAAUCUAAAUUCGAAUUCGAAUGUAGUGUUCCAGAGGUUUGGAUAAGAUUGGCUACAGCAUUAGUGACUGGUCGACACAUCUGGAGAGUGUCGGACUGAGUCGAAGUCAAUUCUUCACGAAAUGGAUGCAGAAAUGGACUCGGCGCACUCAAAUAAGCAAAACUGGAGUUUUGCCAAAUUCGGGUGCCCAGAACAAGAUUUAGGUCGCCCAGAACUUGAGUGCAGAACGGAGCAGAACUGGAAGCCAAUUCGGAUCCUAGUUUCGGGGGCCCAGAAGUGGGUCCGAAAAUUCACUUCGUGAGUAUCGUUUGCGCUGACACGUGGCUGGUGGUAGGUGAGGUCUACCGGAGCCGGUUAUGGGCACAGCACACCGCGGCGGAGGAACCAAAGGGAGGCUUUUGUAUAGCCUGGAGAUUCCGAAAGCCUAGAUGUAUGUUUUGGGCGCCCGAAAGUGGGGAUUCUACAGGGGCAGCAGAUUUGUGUUUGGAGUUCUUGGGUCUUAUCUUAUCUUUUCAUCUGGCCUAUAAAUAGGCUAUGUACGCCCGCAGUGAACACUUUUCAUCCUUUCUUCACAGUGAAGGCUUAGAAUUGCAUCUAACACCUCAAAUUGCUUCAAUUCCUCCAAUUUCUGCACUUUCAACUAGAGGGCUGCAGUUCUAGCAGUUUUCCAGCGGCGACCUUCGGUGUUUCGACUCGUGUGCGACGUAGGAAGCUCCGUUUGCCACGAAACUUAGUUUAUUAGAUUCUAGACUUCAAGAGGAAUUCGUGGAGCUUAAAUUGAUAGAAUUUGGUUAAGGUGAGCUUAGUCAUUUUCGCAUUCUUCUCUGCUGCUGAUGGUUUAAGCUGAAAUUGAGUUUGUUGUGGUUUUCUUGGAGCAAUUCUUUGAAGGAGCUGGAUUGUGAACCAGAGCUUGAUACUCCAGCACAGCCCACUAGUUUUGGGACCUUCCUUCAUCUGAUUUAAGCUUUGGAAGGUAAAGUUGACAUUGUAAUUGGAUGAUAUUAGCUUAAGUGCUGAAUUUUUGGUGUAUUGAUGGAUUUUUUGGUGGAUUUUGUGUAGACCUUGGAUUUGUUUGGUUGCCGGUUGUGGCAGAGAUUGACAGGGAUUCCGGCGACUCCUCGCUGCCGUGGAUUUAGCGCUAGAGGUGGGUUAAUCAUCGGAUUUUUCUCCUAAGUGUACGCGUAGUCAACAUGUAUAUAUUCAGCAGUUGUAUAUCAUGUUUUCAGCUCGAAUUCAUCGAUUAGCAUGUUAAAUGAAAUCUGACUUUGGAGCAUGCUGUAGUAAGUUAAAUAAAUUAUAUAUGUUGGAUUUGGAAUUGACUUAGGAGAAAACUAGCGCUUCUACACUGUCAUAUGUUAAAACUACCAGAUUUAACUCAAGUAGCCGUAGUUUGUUUGUAUCACCGCAGUUUGUGGGUGGUGAAUAUCUAGGAUAGUGUAGAAUAUAUUUACACUCGUUCUGAGAUGUUGAGCUUAUUUUUACAGCAGUAUUUAGGCUGUUCCGGACUGUCGGGUGCCGUUGAGGUUGACGGUGGACCCAGAUUGCUGUUUUUGCACAGAUUGUGCCGAGAGCACAUGAGUUUGGUAGUUGGAUCCUGUUUACUUAGAUCUUAGCCUGUGAAAGCGUGAUUGAGCUCGACAGAGAUAUGCUUGCAUAUUUGGUUGGGUAGCGCCCACGAGUGUCACUCCGGAUCAGGCUUUGUGCGUUUGCGUUGGUGUCAUUGUGUCCUGGUUGGACUUACUCUCCAUGGACUGCAUAGUAUGGAGGUAGCUGUAUCGCUUCGACAGGCGGGACAGGUGUGCUCACAGCCCUGGGACGGGUAUAUUUACAGUCCCUAGUGAGAUUGGGUCAGAGCUUGUCUUAUUUUACAGAUAGUAAUGUCGGAUCAUGAUAGCAUAGUGACAUAUAGCUGUAGAUUGUUUUCAGUUUCUUUACUAUCUCUUGAGCAUACAUCUGUAUACUUAGUAGGUGAGCCGAUGAGUUGAGGGCGGUACCCACUGAGGACUACUUGUUUUUGUAAUAGUUCUCACGCCCAUUUGUUACCCCUCUUUUGCAGAGCCUUCUGUUCCGGCUGCUGCUACUACCAAGACUGAUCGUGACAAAGGCGUUGCAAGUUAGAGCCCUUCCAGACAAGUCGCAGAGCUAGAGGAGUACCAGCUACAGGUAAUUAUAGUUUUUGGUUCUUUACAUACGGAUAUUAUACCUCGCUGGACCGAGUAUGUUUGUACCCUGAUGCUAUAUAUGUAUUGAACCACUGUAUUUAUAUAUAUUUUAUUCCUUUCUAGCAGCUCUAUACUACUAGUUAUAGUGUAUUUGAUUUCAAGUUCUUGUACAGCUUCGCUUCGUAUAUCGGAAAAAUUUUUAUGUAUACGGCGGGUCUGUUAGCGUGCUUGGAAAACGAGCAAUAUGGGGCGUGAUAUCGAUAAAUUUUAAAAAUCCAUAUCCAAAUCAGAACCCGACCAAAAAUUCGAAAUCCGAAGCCGAAAAUCCGGACCCAGAAUAAUUAUUUCUCCUUUCAAUAUUUUAAAAUAUAUUACAUUAAAUUUAAAUUUUUAAAAUAUAAAUUCAGAUAUAACAUCAAAUAUUUAUAUACAUAUUAUAUAUAAUGUCGGAUUCAAGUCGGAUUCGAGUUCGGGUUCGUAUCAGGUACAAUCAAAAUCCAUAUCCGAAUCCAUAUCGCUGGAUUUUUAUUUUUGAUAUUCAUAUCUAAAAUCAUGUCCGUUUAAUAUCAGAUAAAUUCACUCCGUUCGGAUUCGAAUUCGAAUAAAAUUUUGAGUAUCCGUAUCCAUCGACAACCCUAGCCCAAAGUUUAGAGGUCCACAUGUAUACAUUUUCCUUUUUUUGCGUGCAUUAUUGUAGAAUCUAGACGAAAAAUAAUAACUUGAAUGAUCCUCAAUAAUUUUUCAGGACAAAAUAGAGAGUUUAUUUUAAAUUUUCGUUCAAUCAUCGAACCGAUAAACUGACUGGAUUUUAACCAAAUCGUUUAAAAUAUUUGUGACUUGACCAUUUGGUCAAAAAGGUUGAUGCCACCUAAUUUUGAGUUGUGCAAUAGUGCUUUCACAAAAGAAAAAGUGAUGAGUACCAUGGUUUGUCCUUAGGUGGGCAACCUAAAUUAUUUAUGACUUGACCAUUCGGUCGAAAAGGAGAUGCCAAUGCACAUGUUGUGUAGUAUUUUCUUGUUGGUAUUCCCGACCAUUUCCGUGAUUUCAGCGAGCCCCGUAGAUAUAUUAAAUUGCAGAUAUAUUUUCAUAAAAUUUUUAUUUUUAUUUUUAUUCGUACAAAAAUUUUAAUAUUUUUAAGGGGUAAUUGUUUAUAUAUCUCUAAAAAAUUCUCGACUUUUUAAUUUACCUCUCUUAGAAGGCUAAUAUUGAAAAUACUUUUUUUACGUUCCAUCUAUUUCAAAUAUACCCCUAGAGUUAAAUUUCAUUAAUAAACUGUUAUUAAUAACUGUUAUCUGUAUAAAAUUACUAUUUUAUCUUUUUAAAUAUACCCUUCCACUGUCAUGGACUUUUUUUAUUUGUCCUUAAGUUAGGGGUACAAAAAGUAUUUUGAUUUUUUGUCUUUUCAAAUAUACCCUUAUAUUAUAACCAAUAUUUCUUAUUUACCCUUAAAUUACGGGCAAAAUAGACAUUUUAAUUUUUUUUAACUCUAGUAGAAAUUUAACUCACGUUAAACCCAAGUUAACUUAACGGGUGAUAAUUGCAGAAAUAUUUUGGAAUAACGCAGGAACAUAUGAGGGGUAUAUUGGAAACAAACAAAAAAAUAGGAUAAAUGAGAUAUUUUUAAAGUUUUGAGGGGUAUAUAGGCAAUUAUUCCUAUUUUUAAAUAUACUCUGUUUGUAGGAUCCGUUAGAAAAAUAUAGUUAAUUAUAAGUAAAAUACCUAAUCCUGAUUAAUGAAUAAGUUAAAUUAAACUUUGUACCCCUUCUUAUAUUAAUGGACAAAAUAUUUUUUUAGGAUGACAUUUCUGCAUAAUUAUAACAGUUGGGACUUUUGGAGAGAUAUAUUUGUAAGGGCAAAAAUGUUAUUUCACAUAUCUUAUUAAAAAAUAAACAGUGCGCUGACGGUAACAAAUCAGAGGGACAAAUAUGAAUAUCACUGAACUUUUGUAAGGAUAAAAAUGAAAAGUUAAACUUUGUAGCGAUAUAUUUGCUAUACGAUAUGUUUACAGGGAGCUAUAUGCAGUUAACCCUAAAAUUAUUUGGAAACCAAAUUUUAUAAUUUUUCGAUAUCAUUUGCCAAGUAAUCAAAAAGUCUAAAAAAUAAUUAUUUUAAUGAUAGAUAUAGUACGUUUGUAAGUUCAAUGGUGUAGAACAAUUCAAAUUUGAUGAAAUUUUAAUAAAAAUUUCUAUUUACCGUCAAGAGCAAUAUCAUUACUUUCGAUUUAAAAUUUAAGUUUUCUAUCAUUAUUUUUUAUGAGAUUUUCUUUCGGCCUUUCAUUUUGAGGCUAUAUGUUCAUUAAGCAAAUAAUGUUAAAAAUUUAUAAAAUUUACUUUCUAGAUUGUUCCGAUAUUAUAAAUCAUAUCCAAUAAAAUGUCCCGUCAUCAAAAAUAACUUAAAAGUACAAAGGUUACCGUACUUUCGAAAGCAUACUAUCUACUAUUUCUCUUUAUUGUGACACCUCUAAAAUUUGGAAUAGUUCUAUAUAUGAGAUAUAAUAUGAUUAAAACUUUUAAUCCGGUUAUAACAUAUUGGACGCUCGCUAAGCUUAAGAGUUAAGAGGAUUAAGCAUAUUAGAAUUAGAGUAACUCUAGAAUGGAUGACCAUAGAAAAGUUGGGUGGGUGUCACAUCUGUACAGAGAGAAAGAGUGUGUGAGAAGUCCACACCCACCUUAGCUUGCAGACUGCGUGCGAGAGUGGAAUAAGCCGCGAUUCUUUCCACCACGCGCAUUCAUUUUUCGCAAAAAGUAAAAAUAAAAAAAAAAACAAAAAGUCUACUCUUUUAGGAAAAACAACAUAAAAUUAUUUUCCACACCGAAAAUAAUUUUCGGUUUACUUUUACAGUUUUACGACAAACCAAACAUGUCGUAAUGCGUACGAUAGAAUGUUUUUCCCUGGACUAACUAAAUUGGAUAGAAUUUUUUUUCUACACACUUUUUCGAGGAAUCAAUUCCCCAAGGCAGUUUAAAUGGGGAAAAUCUCAGAAUCAAUGGGGAAAUCCCCCCAAGGGGAAUAUUUUUUUUUUUUGGAACAAAGGGGAAAUCCCAGGAACAGCCCCUGAGACAGUGUACAUAGUUUUUGUAUUGUUUUUAAAUUUUUAUGUGAUGGAAGUAUAAGUUUGGUGGUGAGAAAAUGGAUAUUUUUUGUUUAGGAUUAAAUUUUAUUUAUUUAUGAACUAUUUUAUUUUGCUAUCUGAAAAAUGGUGUAUUUUUGGACUAAUAAUUUGCGGCAGUACCUAAAUUUUAAUUAAUUCAUAUUUAAUUUGAUAAAAAAAAAAUUCUAAUGUUUUUAGCUUUACUAGUCAUAUGCAUGGGCAAUGCAAGUGAGAUUUAUUGGAAAAAAUCAAAUAAUUUUUUUUCUAAAAUAUAUAUUAAUUUUAAGUUAAUAAUGAAAUUAAAAUAUAAACUAAAUGUACUACUAUUCUUCAAUUAUUAUUGUUCAAAUUAAUUAGGCUUAAUUUGGGCAAAAUUUUUACAAUUUUUAUUUCCUAAUAUAUAUAUAUAUAUAUAUAUAUAUAGAGAGAGAGAGAGAGAGAGAGAGAGAGUAAGUUUUCUGUACUUUCGAAAGUACGGAGACCUCCGUGCUUGUAAGUUAUUUUCAAUGAUAGAAAAUCUGAUUCGACGAUCGGCUCCGUUAAGUAUAAUCUACCAUAUUGAAACUAUUUAGAAAUCAAAUUUUAUAAUUUUUUGACAUUAUUUACCAAGCGAUCAAAAGGUCUCAAAAAUGACUAUUCUAAUGGCCGAUGUGGCACAUUUUUAAGUUCAACGGUGUAGAAGUAUCCAAAUUAGAUGAAAAUUUAAUAGAAAAUUUUACUUAACAUCAAUAGUAAGACCAAUACUUCCGAUUUGAAAUUUAAGUCCUUUAUCACUAUUUUUUAUGAGAUUUUUAUUUUCAGCCGUUCAUUUUGAGGUUACUCGUUUACUAGACAAACAAAAUUNAUAUAUAUAUAUAUAUAUAUAUAUAUAUACACCAAUUGAUUUGAACAAGAUAGUAAAAAUAUUAAUACAAUUUUGGGAGAAUUUUGAAUCCUAUCGAGAUACUGUUCAUAUUUUGAAAAAAUUUUUGCCUGUACCAAUAUACAUGUUUUAUACACCACAUUCAAUAUUUAACAUUUAUUUUUAAAAAAUUAUACAUUAAAAUUUAUAAAUUUUUAAAAUCAUAAUAUCUAGGUAUUAAAUGAACUUAAAAAUUAACAAUAUAAAAAAAGUUGAUGAAUUUGGUAGGUAGAUGCUCAAAAUAUAUAAUGUCAUAGAGGCAUUGUGUGAGAUCCCUGGUGUUUGACUGUGGAGGCUUGUCGACAGCUCUGGAAAGUGUCGGGACAAGCCCGAGUCGCGUUGGCGUCAAAUAGACGCAAAACGGACUCCGUGCGACGCGGGGGGGACGAGCAUGCCGUUUCAGCGACAGAAAUUGCAAAAUAGCAGUUUUUUCCCUGCGUGCUGUACCGUACAGCCAUCCAGGAGGGCGUCGACGCCCGGGGGGAGCAGAGGUGGCAUCGUGCGCUAACACAGCGGGCUUCGCAGGGCGCGGACAGCCUCCCCCUCCGUGGCGAUAGGACGGCGUUUGAGCAGGGCGGCUCGUUACCGGGUGGCACCAUGAUACUGCGUACACUUCAAUCCAGCGUUGCGCGCAGAUUGCUUCUCGGGUUGCCAUGUGACCGUAAGAGCGCUGUUACCGGUCUACGUUGAUAGGGAGGGGCUUUUUAGUAAUAUCACCUUGCCUUGUUUUGUAUACACUAUUCCACCCCUUGCUUUAUACGUGUAGGAGUUAGUAGAGAGAGAGAGCUAUUGCUACUCUUCUCUUCUCUCUCUCCUAGCUUGAUCGAAUAGCUGGAUCUCGGUUGAGCUUUCGUUGCCGACUCGCGCGCGGAACACGUUUGAGUCGGCUUUUGACGCCGGUGUGGUAGCGCGGGAGGCCGGGACGGCAGUUUCGCCGUUGUCUGGCUGUCGCAUGCGGUGCCCGGUGUUUGUCAGUGAGUAAUUCAGCAUUUUUCCUGGAUUUUUGUGGCUAAAUGUUUGCACUUCACUCGCGAAAUGUUGUUUGCUGAAGUCACCCGGUCGCAAUGCUCAUUGUAUUUUCGGCCUCGUUCUCGACGGGUCAGGAGCCAUCGGACUUGCCGACGGAGUUGUCGUUGGAUUCGGGGACUUUCCGAGAAGGAAUCCAGCGAUUACCCUUACUUGGUGAUUUUUGGUGAGGUUAGCUUGGGUCGAUAACGCCUUCCCUUUCCUGCCUGCUGUAUUGUUUGACUGUAAUGUGGAAUUGCGAGGUGAUUAGUCUUGAGUUAGCCGAUUGCGAGAAUCGGUACUUGUUCGCUCGCCAGCAGGUGUUUCGCAGCUGAGGGAUGUUCCGCUGCCUUGGGAUUAGCGUUGCGAGGUGGUUACAUCGCUUUACUCCUAAGUUUCUUAUUGUCGACUGUAUAAUCUUUGAUUCGUAAUAAGUUUAGCUAAAAUUCAUCGGAUUACUUAAAUGUAAAAUCUGAAUUUUCGAGCAUAUUUUAUCAAGUAAAUAGUUAUACAUGUUGGACUUGGAAAUUAAAUUAGGAGAAACCUGCGAUUUUUGAACCUUGUCACCAGUUUUAAACUACCUGAUUUAGCUCUAGGCGGACAGUCUAGAAAGAUUGUACUGUCGGCAGUUAUUGUCAAGACGAGUAUCCAGGUAGUUUAGAAUGUAAUUUACACUCGUGCUGGUUGCAACGAGUGGAAUUUUUACAGGAUGCGUUCACGGUCGUUAGUCGGACUGUUGGGUUGCACCGUCAGAUGUUGGACGGUUGGACCGCUUAUUCGCCUUUGGUGGGCGUCGAUUGGUCCGGAGGGCAUGUUGACCUGCUUGCGUGUGUAGUACAGUUGAGAGUUCGAUAUUGACCUUUGGCCUAGUUAGCAGCUGAUUCGAGCGUCGACAGACGGAUACGCUUGCAUACUCGGUUGGGGUGGCGCCACGAGUGCCACUCGGAAGGGGCUUUCUUUUGAAGUGGGUCGCUCAGCCAGUUGCGACUUGCGUCUCCACGGACCAGUUAGAGUGGAUAGAGCCGCAUAGUCGCACACGGCUAGGGUACGGGUCUGUUUCAACCAGUCCGGUGGGACGGUAUGCUUACAGUCCCGAUUUGAGAUUGGGUCAGACUUGAAUUUUCCUACAGUUCUGUUACGCUGGAGAGCAUGCACUAGUGUGUGAUGAUGAGCUGGUUGCUUAGGUGUACUUCCUGCUUUUCCUACUACUCCUUGCCCCUUCUGUAGACUUAGUGGGUGACCGAUGUUGUUUUGGGCGGUACCCACUGAGGACUACUUGUUUUUACAGUAGUUCUCACGCCCAGUUGUUACCUAUGUUUUUGCAGAGCCACAGGUUCCGGCUGCUGCACCGUCCGUGGAUCAGGAUCGAGGCAAGGGCGUCGCGAGUUAGAGCCCUACCCGACGUGCUGAGCUAGAGGUGCCCUACUGCAGGUAGAUGUUUUGUUUCGAGUUUGUGUACAUAGUUGACUUAACUCGCCAGUGCGAGUAGCUCUGUAUUUUGGAUCUGAACUAUGUAUAUGAAACUCUGUUUUAUUUAGCUUCUGUUUUCUCUAGCAGCUCUCUACUACUGUUUGUAGUAGUGUUUGAUAUACAGAGAAAAUCUCUUUGUAUACGGCGAAUUUGUCGGCGUGCCCGGGGAACGUGUAAUCCGGGGCGUGACACAUUGUUAUAUUUAUAAAUUUUGUAAUAUUUUUUAAUUUCACACAAUAUGAAUUGAAUUUUAAUUUAAAUUCGUGAGCUUUUUAUUAACUAAAGAAAUGGAAAUAUAAUUUGAAUUUAAUUAUGAAACUUGUUUAGGAAGAAAUUAAAGAUAAUGAAAAGGAAAACAAUUCGGCUGAGACUUUAAUAUCUUUAAUUAAAAAUGUAAAUCUAGCUAAAAAUUAAAUUGCUAAAAAAAAGAUAUAUUAGUAAUAGAAAAGAAAGAAAAAUUAAAAAUAUAUAUAUAUAUAUAUAUAUAUUAGUAAUAGAAAAGAAAGAAGAAUUUUAAAAAAAGAAAAUAUAUUAGCAAUAGAUAUAAGAGGAGAGAGACUAUUUACAUUGAUGUGUAUAUGAAUUGUCAACGCAUAGAUUGUCGAUCAUCGGUGACGUGCAUACUCUUAUAUCUUGACCACCGAUGACAUGUCGGUAGACCAUCAACAACGUUGACAUGAUUCGUGUACUUCUGUCGAUAUACAUGCAAUGUGAGGACGACGAUGUCAUGCUAGCAAAGAUGACAACAAAGUUCUGCCGGCGAAGAGGAGGAUAAAGAUGUGCCGGUGAAGGUGACGACAAUGAUGUGCCGGCGCCAGCAAGGACAACGAAUAUGUACAUGUACAAUAAACCAUAAUAGAAUAGGUGUGGAAGGAAUAAAAGAAAACACUUGAGAAUGCAGUGAUAAAUACAAAGGUGGCAGGUAUUAUGUGUAAUUAUAUAAGAUUGGAAUAAGAAUAAGAAGAUUGUUGAGAAAUGAGUAGGUAUUAAAAUUAUGAUGAGAUGGUAGGUAGCUAAGUGUCACUCGUCCGAAAGGAGAUUUAGAUUAAAAGUAUCAAAAUUUUAAUUUAUUUUUAAUUCAACAUGUCACAUCUAAUUUUAAAUUAAAUUUAUAUUUACAUUUUAAAUUUUAAAUCGUUAAUGGAGGUGUAUGUCUAUUAUUAAAUUAUUUUUUUCUAACUUUAAUUUAUCUCUAAAUAAGUUUUAUAUAUUUAUAAUUAAUUAAUACUAUAAGUAUUUUUCAUAUGUAUUUCAUAAUAUUUGAAAAAAUGUGCGCAUUAUGUUAGAAAGGAUUAGCAGCUAUGUCACAAAGAAAACAUUUAAAAGGAUAUUACUAAAAAAAUAUAUAUACUAAAAUAGUAUAAAUGUAUAUUAAAAAAAUAAAAAAUUUUCAGGUAGGAUCAAAAUACCUAUGGCGAAGGUAACGAAGGCGACAAUGUGUCGGCACCGGUAAUGACGAUAACGAUGAGGAGAACGAUGAUCAUGUACCAGUGCCGGCAAUGGUGACGAAUGAAAAAGGAUGUACUAAAAAAAAUAUUUGAGAAUAUUUAAGAAAAUGUAGAUAAAAAUGAAAAAGAAUAUUACUGAAGAAAAUAUAUGCUUUAUAUUUGAUAAACGUAUACGUAAAAAUAAGAAAAUACCAAAAAAAAUAUGCUAAAAUAAUAUAAAUGUACAUUAAAAAACGAAAAAUUUUCAGGUGAGAUUGAAAUACCUCUCCAACUUUGACGAAAAUGGCAAAAGUGAUAAUGUGUCGGUGUCGACGAUGACGAUGUGCUACGAUGUACUGGUGCUAGCGAUGGGAACAACGAUGUACUAGUGCUAGCGAUGGGUUCAAAUGAGAAAAGAUAUUACUAAAAAAAUAUUUGAGAAGAAUAUAGGUGAAAAUAAAAAAGAUAUUAUUAAAAAAAUAUCUCAAAAAAAUAUAUUCUGUGUGUGAAUAAAUAUUAUAAUGAGAUAAGAUUGGAUAGUAUAGAUAUUAUAUACAAAGACAUAUAGAUAUUAUAUGCGAGUGCAUUAAGAUAUGCUCUGUAUUUGAGAAACGCGUAAAAUAUUUUGGCGGGCAUUACUUUUGAAUAAUUUACUAAAAAAAUUCAAAAAUUUAAAAUUAUAUUUAACUAACAAUUUAGUUUUGCUUAGGUGGGUAUUAAAUCUUUCUAGCAAUAUUCUAUGUGAUUGGCGUAGAUAUUACGUGUAAAAAAGAAAUUAUUUGAGUAACACGUAAAUAGGAGAUAAUGGAUAUUUUAAUUUAUGGCAGAUAUUACGUUUGAGAAAACGCGUAGAUAGGAUAAAUUUAAUUUUAUUUAUUAUGUGAUGGAUAUUUUAAUUUAUGGCGGGUAUUACGUUUGAGAAAAUGCGUAGAUAGGAUAAAUUUAACUUUAUUUAUUAUGUGAUUGGCGCUAUUACGUGAAGUAUCCCUAGUGUUUGGUUGCCCGUAAGUUUUCAGCAUCUGAGACUUGUCAACACAUCUGGAGAGUGUCGGGACAGGUCAGAGUCGUUUUGGCGCGAAACGGACGCAAAACAGACUCAGUGCGACGCGAAAGCAGAGUUUGACAUUGAAAUCUACAAAGUGUAGGUUUUCAGUAUUCAGUAUCGGUACCAUACAGGGGAGUACCGAUACCCCAGUGUAUUCUCCGAACUGCUGCUCUAGGGUUGCGAUAAUUGAUGCUGAGUACCAGUACAGCAUCGAGCUGGUACCGGUACUCCAGCUGGGAUGUUGAGUUGGUGAGGAGUAGAAUGGUCUUUUUGGUUGGUGGAUAAACAUACCACCCACUCCCUCUUUAUAUUUAUCCACCUCAUCUGCCGAGAAGGGUAAUUAUCCUUUUUCCUCUCUCUCCAGUUUUAAUUGUGUGCUUAGGGAAGGCCACGGCUUAAGCUCGGAUCGACGUCGACGUUGCGCCAGGAAGCCGUUCAAGCGCGUGGAUGUCGCGGUUGCGUCGUUGGAGGCCGGGCGAGCGCGUGUUUUCCCUUCUCUCGACUUCUCGCCACAGUUGGACUAGCUUUUCGAGGUGGGUUGAAGUUUACUGAAAUCACCAGAACAUCUUCUAAGUUUUUAUAUCGUCAACAUAUAUCAUGUGUUUAAUUUCUUGCUAGUACUCAAAUUCAUGGAUUAUGCUUAAAAUAUGAAUUUGGAGUUAAGUAGUAGUAGUAUAAUUUUACAUGUUGAACAUGGAAUUGACUUAGGAGAAAAUUGUAGAUCCUACACUGUCAGUUUCUGAAAACUAUCAGAUUUAGCUUUAGGAGCUGUGGUUUAUGUGUAUUGCCACAGUUUGUAUGCAGUAGAUACCCAAAUUAGUGUAGGAUGGGUUUAUGCUCGUGCUGGGAUGCCGAGUUUUCUACAAUAGUGUGUAGACUGUUUCCGGUUGACGGGUACCGUCGCGGUUGACGGUGGACCCAGAUUUCUGUAUUUGCAUCAAAUUGUGUCAAGAGCACGUGAGCUUUGAUUGUUAGAUUUAUUUGCUUUAAUUAUAGCCUGUGAGAGCCUGAUUGAGAUCAGCAGAGACACGCUUGCAUACUCGGUUGGGUAGCGCCCACGUGUGCCACUCCGAAGUCUGGUUUGUGCUUUUGCGUUGUUGUCGCAGCAGUCCUGUUUGGACGGUGCUUUAGGACCGGCCACCUCAAUGGUGGUGUGCGGUAUAGCUCAGACGCAGGCGGGACGGACCUAUUGGCAGUCCCUUGACAGUCCCUUGACAGUAUAGUCGUUGUUGCAGGGGAUGCAUAUCUACAGAUAGCUAAAGUUGGUUAGUGAUAGUAUAUGGGCAUAUAACUGUAGGGUUUCUAGCUUUUCUUACUAUCUCCUGCAUACCUGUCUGUAGACUUAGUGGGUGAGCCGUUGAGGUCAGUAGCGGUACACACUAAGAACUACUUCUUUUUGCAGUAGUUUCCACACCCAGUUGUUUACCCCUUUUUGCAGAGCCUCCUUCUGCGGCUGCUGCUGUCGUCGAUACUUAUCGUGGAAAGGGAGUUGCGAGCUAGAUCUCUUCCCUGAUUGCAGUUCUAGAGGAGUACCAUCUACAGGUAGUUUUGAGUUUUUGGUUCAUGUACAUACUUGCUGGUACUCGCUGGAGUAAGUGAUGUCGGUAUUUAGGAGACUAUGUAUCUAUAGUGAACUUGAUGUUUAUCUAUAUAUGUUUACAGUUCUGUUAGCAGCUCCAUACUACUAGUUAUAGUUUUGUAACAUUACAGGUACAGGUACAGCUAUCGCUUCAUAUAUAGAAAAAAAUUCUUUUAUAUACGGCGGGUCUGUUAGCGUGCCCGGAAAAACGUGGUAAUUCGGGGUGUGACAUUACGUGUGAGAAACAAAAUAUUUAAGAAACGCCAGCCGUAGAUAGGAUAUAACGAAUAUUUUAAAUUAUGACGGGAAUUACGUUUGAGAAAACGCGUAGAUAUUUGUAAAACGCGUACAUAUGAGAUAAUGGAUAUUGAGAGUAUUUUCGUCAAGAAAAGUGACAAAUACUUUUAUUUUUAAUCGUUGAAUGAGAUCGAAUGGUAAAAACUUAAGAUCUCUAUUUGAAAAUAAAUUAUUAUUUAAAAAAUUAUUUGAAACGAAUGGUUGAUAAUCACUGAACAUGAAAAUAUUAGUAGAAAAGAUAGAGAUAUUUUUGAAAAGGGAAAAAAAUUUAAAACACAUGCUUUUAUAAGUAAUAUAGAUAACUAUUUUGUCCAUAAUUAAUGUUUAAUUGGUUAUUAUAUUCAAGGGCAAAUUUGGUGUUCUAUGUGACUUUUUUUUCCAUUACUUAUUCUAAUAUAAAUAUCCAAAACAUUUUUGAGAAUAUUUUACAGGAACAGACAAAUAGCAUCUGAAUGUAAUUUACCACUUAAUCGUGAUAAUGUCAAAAUAUUUUCUAUUUAUGGGAACAAUAAAAAGUUAUUUUUCAAAGGACGGUUUCUACGACAUAAUUAAGGAUCUGUUUGAUUCCUUGGAAAAUAGUAGAAAAUUAUUUUUUGAAAAAAAAAUUUUGUGGAAAAAAAAUUUGCUACUUUCAAUUUUUUGGUUCGACGGAAAAAAAAAUUAGUUUUCCAUAUAUGCGUGUUUGGCUGGUAAGAAAAAAAAUAAAAAAUAAUUUUUUAUUUCUAUUUUACCUAUUUUGUUAGCUGAAAAUUUUGAUGUAUAAAUAUCUUCUACGAAAGGAGGAUAUUAUGAGUUGAGCUAGAACACUCUCAAAAGCACCAAGGGGGUGGUGCUUUUGAAUUUUUAACUAUUGGAUGGAGAGAUGUAGGGUUGAAAUGAUGGUGGUCAGUAGUGGUAGGUGGUGGUAGGUGAAAUAUUGUUUGAUCCAAAAGCUAUUAGUAAUCAAGGAGUAGAUCCAAGGGCUAGAAACCUAGAAGCACCAAGGAGUUGGUGCUUCUAAAAGUAUUUUAGCUCAAUUCGGAUAUUAUUAUCAACCUUUUAAAAUUUAACAUAAUACCCAUAAACUUUUUACAAUAUAAAUAAUAAAUAAUUAAAUAGGAAUAAAUUUUAACUAUAUUUUGGUUGACAACAGAGAUGGAGGCAGUGGAAAUAACGAGUUGGAUGGUAAACGUACACCAAUGUAUUAGAAAAUAAUUUUUUUUCUUUUUAUUCUUCAAAACACUUGUAAGAAGUUUUUGUUUUCCUAAAGAAAUGAAAAUCAAAAGAAAAGUUUUCUGUGAAAUAUGAAAAAAAAAUUUCAAAAAAAUCUGGUUUUCUGCGAACCAAGCACACGAGAAAAAAAAAAGAAAAAAGAAAAAAGAAAAAAAAUCAUCUGAAAAAGGUUUUUUGGAAAAUUUUCCUACGAACCAAACAGGCCCUAAGUUAUCGAGUGCAACUUUGCUCAGGAGAUCCGCAACGGUUUUUUGUUGAAACAGUCUAAUAAGCCGCAUGAUGCAUUUCACAAUCAAAUUUUAAGAUCUGAUAUCUACUCUAAAUGUUCUGGAAAACUUUGAACACCUUGUCUAUGGAUUACAAUAUUUUUCACUUUAGUUUUCUAUUUAGUUUUAACUGAAUCACAUAAGUAUUCUGUGAUUUUAUUUUUAUUUUUAAUUAUAUUUUUCAUUAACUUUUUUUGUUAGAAUAAUAACGUGUUUUGAAUCGCGCAUAUGCAUGGUGAAUCAGACAAAAAAGUAAUUCUUAACUAACCGUAUAGUAUGCAUAACAUUAAGAAUUUCAGUACUGCAACUUCUCAGGGCGUCACCCAUCAUAGGAUUACUUCCAUCCUAACACGUUUAACUCUCUUAACUUCUUAAGCCUAACCACCACCCAAAAUGUUUAAGCCGGAUUAACAGUUUAGCCCUAUUAUAUUUUAUAUAUAGAACUAUCUGGGGUUUCAUAAUCUCCCCCGUUUAAACCCUGACACCCUCGUCAGGAUCAGACUCACAACGAUUAGGUGAUGUGAGACUACUCUCGCUAGCCUUGUCAUUCUGACCCUAGCUCAGCUGAGAAUCAUCUCACAUUUCCCACUGGUAAUUGGCUCUGAUACCAACUGUGACGCUCCAACUUCCCAGAGGGUCACCCAUCUUAGGACUACUUCCGUCCUAGCACGUUUAACUCUCUUAACCUCUUGGGUCUAAUCACCAGCCAAAAUUUUUAAGCCGAGUUAAGAGUAUAGCCCUAUUAUAUUUCAUAUAUAUGACUAUCUAGGGUCUCACGGUGACACGAAAUCGUAUCGAAAACUUGUUGGCAUGGUACAGCUCUUUAGCAACAAAAUACAACUGCUUGUUAUAUAUUUUUAUCAAAUAUUUUAAAUUUUAUUUAGAAAAUUAUUUACUAAUUUAAAGUAAUUGAGAGUUUUGAGCUGUGCCAUUAACACGAGAGCUGUGUCGUGUCGAUAUCUUGCUAGAACCAUAUGGUACGGUAGAUACAAUAUGUGCAAAUGAAAGCUUUAAAUCCUUGCAUAAUAUGAUAAUAUGUAUUAAAACAAAUAAAAUAUAUUUCACUGUAUUUUCUCACCAUAAGUCAUUCUCUACUUUUCAGUUGUUACAAUAGGUUAAAAAUUCUGGGACAAUUGGUGAAUUUUAUUACGAAACAUUACUAAAGUUUGUUGACAUAUUACAUUAAUCUAUCUCUCAGUAUCUAUCUAAUUUACAAGUCAAAAUAGAUUAAAAAAAAAAUCUUCAAACGUACCAUUUUAAUCCGUUUAUAUGUCUCUACUGUAUUAAAUAUAAACGGGUUCAGCUACGAAUUUAUUUUUGUAAAAUUUUAAGAUAUUUUUGUAAAAUUUUAUAGAUUUUUUAGAAAAUUUAUAAAUUUAUUUAAGAUAUUGAUAAAAUACAGAAAAAUUAAUUUUAUUAAUUUUAAUACCAGGAGAGUAAUUCAGACCAACGUUAAUUAAAAUGUAAGGGGUCUUUCGUAAUUUAACCUUUUUCAAGAAGAUGCCGGUAAAUUAUCACCACGGAUAUGUCGCACCCAAAGUAGGAUUCAAUAAAAUUAAUUUUAAAUUUAAGUAAAAUUAAUUUUUUAAUUACGACUUUAUAUUGUUUUUUUUUUUUCUGAGAGAAAUAGAUAGCACGCUAUUCAAUUCGUUUAUUUCAUUUAAAAAUAAACUUAGCUGGAAAUGUAAAUCAACUAGAAUUCGAACUUAGGACCUCGGGUACCAACCACCAAACCCUUUGCCUCUUGCUCUAGGGACGGUCGGUAAUAUACCCCUAUAGUUAAAUUUUAUUUGUGAACGGUUAGAGCAAUAGUCGUUAUCUCUGUGAAAUUACUAUUUUGCCCUUUCCAAUAUACUUUUUUACUAUCACUAACUUUUCUUAUUUGCCCUUAAGUUAGGGAUAAAAAAGUAUUUUGAUUUUUGAUCUUUUCAAAUAUACCAUUCUACCAUCAUCAAUUUUUCUUAUUUGCCCUUAAGUUAAAGAUAAAAGAAGUAUUUUGAUUUUUUUAAACUCCGGUAGACAUUUAACUCACGUUUAACCCGAGAUAACUUAACGGAUGGUAACUACAUGGGUAUUUUUGAAUAACGGAGAAACAUAUGAAGAGUAUAAUGGAAAAAAAAAAAAAGAAGAAAAAAAGUAGAGAUAAAUUAGAUAUUUUCGAAGUUUUGAAAUGUAUAUAGGCAAUUAUCCCUGAUAGUUGUAUAUAUAUUAUAGAUGAGGAGGACUAUUUCAGAAUAGCAUAUAGGUGAAGGGGUCUCCGUAAAGUUUUAACUAAGAAAAAUAUAACAUAAUAAUAGAAAAAAAAUGGAACUAAUUAAUAUGUACAAAAACUUGCAUAAGAUGAUGAUUCUAUUAUUAUGAACAGAUACUUGUAUCCUAAAAUAAAAACAUAUUGGGUUUGAUCGAUUCAGUAAAUCAAUUUUAUUCAAAAUUGUAAUGGUACCACAAAAUUCAAAUUUUCAAAAUUGGUGAACAACAUACUGAUGUUUUUCGAUUCAAUUUUUCGUUGGCACGAUUCGCUAUUCGAUUUUCUCGGUACAGAUGAACAUCCCCUACGUUAAACUACGUUAGCAAGCGUAAGAAAUUCCAACAAAAUAAAAUUUUCAAUUAUUUAUAAUUUGACAUAUCUCAUUUUAGUGACACGGAGUGGAUCUGAUUUUGUAAGGACUGAGAUUUUUGACAGUGCAAUUAAACUCUCUGUUGAUGACGUUUAUGUGUGUAAUUUAAUUACAUAAGCACUCGUCAAGUUUCGGACGAAAAUGAGCUAAAAUGGAGAAGAUACGCGAUUUUUAGUUUUCACUUAAGUGAAUAGUAACUCUGGUUUUCCGGAGAAGCCACGGAGUAAAGUUGGCUUCUGGUGCGUAUCGGACUCCGUUCAUAGCGAUCCAAUAGCUCGUUUUGAACGGUUCAGCUAUUCUGGAACCAAUGGCACUGUCGGAUUUCAGAUCCGAUGCACGAUUUUCGAGAAAAAGGAGUUUUAAGAAAAGAGGGUUUCCGCUCUUUGCUAUUCGUGCAUUUUAAGACUCCUCGUGCUCUACGUUUGUGACCUGGGGUUAGGUGAGAGUUGUUUCUGGUACCUACUGGUGGUAGGGAAUUCAAAUUUGAAUUUGAAUUAUAGGUUUUAGGGUUUAUACAUAGGUCUAUGUGUAAUUUGUGGAUUAGUUGGAGAGCAGAUGGGUUUGGUCGCAAAUCGGCAAGUAAAUCGGAUGAAACGAAAUCGUAGUUUCAUUGCCUUCAUCGUGCUGAACGCGAUGGUGCAAUCCGUUCAGAAAUCCGAUGAACGGAUUGCUGGAUAUUGCAUGAAGUUCGCUAGGGGGUCGAGAGUGGAAAAUCGGGAAAUUCGCAAAAGUCGUAAUAUUUUAUGUACCGUAUCGCGCGAGAUCGAUUGUGGAGGUGUAAAAGCGCGAUUGUUACCCACUAUGAAGGACUGGGUAAGAAAUACCAAGCUUCGGUGGACUUUUGUGCAAAAUUGCACUUAGUNAGCUUAGAUAGUUAUAUGGUUCAGUAUUUUUAUUACAUUUGAAAAUAUGGAUUUUCGUAAAUGUAAUAAACGGAUUUCUGGAUUUUGUAAAAUAAAAGGUUUUCUACCCCUCGUGGUAGCGUUUUUAAAGAAUAAAGGUUUCCGUGUAGGAAACAGUUUUCAAAAGGUUUUCUGUAGAUUUUGCAUCUUAGUAUUUCAAAACAUGUUUCUGUGGUUGGAAACAUUUUAACUGAUAGAUGUGGAUUUAUCUUUACAUAUCGAAUAUAUAAAUGUGAACCUGUGAUGUGAAUGGUAUAUGAAUAUAUAAUUGUUGGUUAUUUGUAUGUUCAUUUGGUUGUGGUUGUACCUGGGUUACUUCUUGUACUUGUGUGACGCCGUGCAAAUACAGGGGAGACUCUGUCCGUGUGAACAGUGAAUUCCCUGUGUUUGUGGCGGAUCUGACAUACUCUGGGGUCAGGCUUUUCAAAAAAAAAAAAAAAUUUAGACGCUUUUUCCGCUGUGUUCAAAUAAAAAGGGACCCCGGGGCGUGACAGAUUUGUAGGUAAUGGAUCUAAAGAAUCAGUGAUUUCGUUUGUUUAUUUCACUGAAAGUAAAAUUCAGAUUGAAGUAAACCUUUAGACGAAUUAAAAUUUAUGUAAAAGUUACUUUCUCCCGUUGUUUGUUCUUAUUUCAGUUCUGUUAUUAAGCGAAUGACGUAAAAACUAAAAUUUUUUUGUUAAUAUUUUAUUUUCUGU